ACUCAAAUGAAUAGACGGGGACCCGCACAAGCGGUGGAUUAUGUGGAUUAAUUCGAUGCAACGCGAAAAACCUUACCUACCCUUGACAUGUCAGGAACCCUGCAGAGAUGCGGGGGUGCCCGAAAGGGAACCUGAACACAGGUGCUGCAUGGCUGUCGUCAGCUCGUGUCGUGAGAUGUUGGGUUAAGUCCCGCAACGAGCGCAACCCUUGCCAUUAGUUGCUACAUUCAGUUGAGCACUCUAAUGGGACUGCCGGUGACAAACCGGAGGAAGGUGGGGAUGACGUCAAGUCCUCAUGGCCCUUAUGGGUAGGGCUUCACACGUAAUACAAUGGACGGUACAGAGGGCAGCCAACUCGCGAGAGGGAGCUAAUCCCAGAAAGCCGUUCGUAGUCCGGAUUGCAGUCUGCAACUCGACUGCAUGAAGCCGGAAUCGCUAGUAAUCGCGGAUCAGCAUGUCGCGGUGAAUACGUUCCCGGGUCUUGCACACACCGCCCGU
rnacentral:rRNA from 1 species